ensembl:lncRNA
CUCAACUUACCCCACUCUCACUUACACUGAAAAUAACAUUUGGGUUGGGUUCGGGACCAGUUCUUGCGGAACUGCGGUUAGGUUCGGGACCACUUCUUGCAGGACUGCGGGUGGGUUCGGGACCAUUUCUUGCAGGACUGCGGUUGGGUUCGGGACCAGUUCUUGCAGGAGCAGAUGGGAGUCUGACAAAAAGCCAGUGGGGGUGAGCUGGUACGGUAUGAAAAGCUGCUUGUGUGGUUGGGUGGGAGCGGGAUGAAGAAAUCAGUCCUGUGCAGACCUCUAGCUCUACUGUUAGCCAGAUAGCUAGUUAUAACUAGCUGGCUAGAAGGAUGAAGUCAGAAGCUAAUGUUUAACAGAGCCUGACCUCAGCAGGAGGAGUCAACUGAAAUUAAACUAGCUAUAAUCUUAACUAAAGAUAUGCUAUUAGAAGUUCUCAUAACAAAAUAACUUUGCUUUACAGAGAGCAGUGAGGCAGACAGUGGUGAGGCCGACCGCAAUGCAGACACACAGACAGAGACAGCAAGCAGAGAGAUUGGGGUCCCCUGAAAUUGAGAAUGUUUCAUCUUAUCAAACACAUUGUUUAUCAUCAAAUGGCUUUAGAAUACAUAUAUUUUUUUAUUCAACAAGGCAAGUCAGUUAAGAACACAUUUUUAUUUACAAUGACGGCCUACACCAGACAAACCUGACGACACUGGGCCAAUUGUGCUCCGCUCUAUGGGACUCCCUAUCACAGCCGGUUGUGAUACAGCCUGGAUUUGAACUAGGGUGUCUGCAGUGACACCUCUAGCACUGAGAUGCAGUGCCUUAGACCGCUGCACCACUCAGGAGCCACAUACAACAUUUUUUGAGUCAACUACGGUCCUUUUACAAUGCUAGAAUGCACUUGCUUGUCAUUAUGUGUUGGGACAGCCCGUGGGACCUAAAAUGUAAUAAAUUAAAUAGACAAUUUAAUAUUAUUCUCAUGUAUUUGAAAAUCUAUUGUUAAAACUGCUUUGCAGAGAGUAGUGAGACAGACAGUGAUGAGGCGGAGGCAGGCUGCAAUUCAGGAGGAGGUGGAGGAGACAGACAGACAUCGAUGAGGCGGAGGCAGGCUGCAAUUCAGGAGGAGGUGGAGGAGACAGACAGUGACGAGGCGGAGUCAGGCUGCAAUUCAGUAGGAGGUGGAGGAGACAGACAGUGAUGAGGCGGAGGCAGGCUGCAAUUCAGGAGGAGGUGGAGGAGACAGACAGUGAUGAGGCUGAGGCAGGCUGCAAUUCAGGAGGAGGUGGAGGAGACAGACAGUGAUGAGGCGGAGGCAGGCUGCAAUUCAGGAGUAGGUGGAGAAGACAGACAGUAAUGAGGCGGAGGCAGGCUGCAAUUCAGGAGGAGGUGGAGGAGACAGACAGUGAUGAAGUGGAGGCAGGCUGCAAUUCAGGAGGAGUUGUUUCGGUUUAUAUUGGUGUUUGUUCGUCUUAUCUCGAUCGUCCAGUGGAGUUUAUAGUUUAACAACCUUUUUUUUUUUACCACUGGUAUCACUGGUGACCUUUUAAGAAAGCCCUGUGUCGAGGUUCAGCUUAAUUUGGCAGGAGUGACUUAAUUCAUCCUCAACAUGGUGCUCCAUUCUCUCCCUGCGAAAACACAUUUCCAUCAUCUGAAUUGUUAGUGUCCCCAGGAGGCCGUACAUUGACUUUCAGGUUCCUGUGAUUACAGGAAGUGUCUUAAUUGGGGGUCAUAGGGGCGGUUUUGAAGGAUUAUAAAAGUUAAAUCAACCCAAAAGCAUUUUUGACCUCUAUUGGACAUAAUGGUCUUGCAGUUCAAGAAAUUAAAAUUACCUGGCUACCCAGACUCCUCACUCCGGCCAAACGCCCACGAACGUUAUUUUCUUCUUCGCAAUGAGUCUGGAUCUGAGUACCUCCGUUGGGAGGCAGUCUCAGACUAACGAAUGUAGCAAACGACAGAGCAGCAGAAUCAUUUAGUGUGAGUCGUUAGGCUUAAAAAUUGUUAGAAUGAAUUCUGAAGAGCAUGAUGGUCACAUUUUUAUAUAUUUACUUGAAACUGUCUGUCUGUCUGCCUGUGCAUGUCUUGCUGUCUGUCUGUCUUUCUGCCUGCCUACAGCUCUCUGUCUGCCUGCCUGCCUGCCUGCCUGCCUGUCUGGUUCUCGGAAUAUCUUUCUUUGAGUGUCUGUUUGUCUGUCUGAGUCUUUCACCAAUUUACCCAUUGCAGCUGUAUCACCAACCUUUUCGCCUUGGAAGCAAUGUAUUGACUUAUGCGCCAAUGCCCUGUCUGUGAAGAUGGGAGAGAGGAGGAAGAGAAAGGAAGGAG